CUAACAAGAGAUCUGGAGGUGAGAUAUGAGAAUAUUCGCAUGGUAGCCGAGUGUGAAGUAGUUCAUGGCAAGCCUCUUCAAACUAUCUGGAAUUACACCUUCGGUUAUUGCAGAAACUUCCGAGACGAACAGCCAAAGUUAGUGUGAAAUUUCUCUCUGUGGAGGUGAGAUAUGAGAAUAUUCGCGUGGUAGCCGAAUGUGAAGUAGUUCAUGGCAAGCCUCUUCCAACUAUCUGAAAUUCUUUGCAAAGUAUGCCUUUUGUAUGUAUCUACCUGUAUGUGACCGUGAAGUAAAAUAUAUGCUUUUUAGGUUGACGCAUUUGAAGCACUUAGUUAACAACAUGUAUUAUAAGGUAACAUUAUUUACUUUCAAGUUUCAACUUUUAAAUUUGCUAUUUCAAUUUGAUAACUCCAUUAUUGUAAAAUGGCUUUUCGCGGUUUAUACGUUACACCAUGGUUUAAUGACUAUUAGAACUUCUGACCAUAUAUUUAGUUUGUAAAGUUUUUUCAUUCGCUCUGUUACUUCGGGCUUGAUGAGAUGAUGUUGUUUAACUUUUAAAAGUAUUAUACCAACUUUUCCACAUUUCAUGUCUCAACUGGUCAUGGCUGGAGGUUUGGCUGGAUUCCGAUCUGGUACGAAGAGGGAGAACCGUAAAGCAUCCAUCUUCCUCAAAUUCGGGAGAAGUUUAUCUAUUAACAUAAAUGUAGGGGUGAAGAUGGUGACUCCCGAAAGGUUAUUCUGAAAGGAAUGCGUUACGGAGAAGUUGAACGAAGAAUCGUCUCACAACUUUUGACUCUGAUGGACGGGUUGAAAUCCCGUGCUCACAUUAUUGUUAUGGGUGCAACCAACCGUCCCAACAGCAUUGACCCAGCUCUGAGAUGAUUCGGCAGGUUUGACCGUGAAAUCGAUAUCGGUGUUCCCGAUGAAGUCGGUCGGCUCGAGGUGCUCCGCAUUCAUACCAAGAACAUGAAGUUGGCUGAAGAUGCGGACUUGGAGAAGAUUUCGAAAGAGGCACAUGGAUAUGUCAGUGCUGACCUGGCGGCUUUGUGUACUGAGUUGGCACUUUAGUGUAUUCGUGAGAAUAUGGAUGUGAUCGAUUUAGAAGAUGAGUCGAUUGAUGCUGAGAUUCUUAAUUCGAUGGUGGUUACGAAUGAGCAUUUUCAAACCGCCUUUGGUACGAGUAACGCUAAACGAGAGCUCCAAGAGAUUGUGCAAUAUCCGGUUGAACACCCUGAAAAAUUCGAGAAAUUCGGUAUGUCACCAUCUAAAGGAGUUCUGUUUUACAGGCCACCCGGGUGUGGUAGAACACUUCUAGCCAAGGCUAUAACCAAUGAAUGCCAAGCUAACUUCAUUAGCUCAAGGGACCAGAAUUGAUAACCAUGUGGUUCGGUGAAAGUGAAGCUAAUGUUCGUGAGAUCUUCGAAAAAUCCCGUGGGUCCGCCCCUUGUGUUCUGUUUUUCGAUGAGCUCGACUCCAUUGCUACCUAGAGGAAGUAGUCAAGGAGAUGCGGGAGGUGCAGCUGAUAGGGUGUUGAAUCAACUUUUGACUGAAAUGGACGGGAUGUCAGCUAAAAAGACGGUUUUCAUUAUGGCUCUUUACAACAAGAAAAAGUUUAAGAAACCAAAUUAAAAAUUUAUGGUUUUCAUCGCCGCUUUCGUUCUUCUCCAUCUCUAUGUUUUCUCUUAUCCAUUAAAGCCGCUUAUUCGAUUCUUUGAGAAAUAUCUUCAGUAAAUAAUGAUGCAUGCACGGCUCAAUUCCGAUGCAACUCCUCGUGUUGCCGAUACCCUGGUGAUUCCUCUAUAGGCCCAUCUUCAUUAAUUUCUGUUCUACUCACCGUUUCUUCAGUUACAGCAGCAGGCGUGACCACUUGGUUGCAGACGCCACACUUGCAGCUUGCUUCCCCACAGUUUGAGUAUAAAUUGAACCGGACUCACGUCCGAUUAUAUGGUAUUUAUCAUCCGCAAACAUCUGUCAGAUUUUGCAAGUUCAAUAGCUUUAAGGUGAUAUGUCGCAAUUCAAACGAUCAGCAAACCAGCAAUCAAACUGGAGGAAAUGGAAUACAGCUUUAGCGAGAUUUCGAGAGAGGAUUAUCAAGAAUGACGACGUCGGUGUUCUGAUUGGGUUUUUGUUGAUGACUUUGAUGAUUAAUCUUGGUUUUUGUUGAUGACUUUGAUGAUUCUGUUAGGUUUUUAUUAUAAGUCUAUAACCUAAUUUCGAUUCAAAUUUGGGGAUUUUGGAGUCCAAUUAGGUUUAGUGAAUAGGAUUAGAAUCUGGAUGCGUGGAUGGUGUUAAAUACUUAUGGUUCUGUGGAAAAGGAUAUUAUGUAAUGUGUACUUGAUUAACUUUUAGGUAUUUAUUAGGGGAUUUGACCUUUUUAAAGUAGUAGUCUAUAUUUUGGGGCUGAAAGUUUGAUUAUGUUGUUAAAGAUUAUUCUGUUAAGCUACUUAUGGUAAAGUGAAUUACGGCAUUUAUUA